rnacentral:rRNA from 1 species
GAUGAACGCUGGCGGCGUGCCUAAUACAUGCAAGCCGAGCGAACAGACGAGGAGCUUGCUCCUCUGACGUUAGCGGCGGACGGGUGAGUAACACGUGGAUAGCCUACCUAUAAGACUGGGAUAACUUCGGGAAACCGGAGCUAAUACCGGAUAAUAUAUUGAACCGCAUGGUUCAAUAGUGAAAGACGGUUUUGCUGUCACUUAUAGAUGGAUCCGCGCCGCAUUAGCUAGUUGGUAAGGUAACGGCUUACCAAGGCAACGAUGCGUAGCCGACCUGAGAGGGUGAUCGGCCACACUGGAACUGAGACACGGUCCAGACUCCUACGGGAGGCAGCAGUAGGGAAUCUUCCGCAAUGGGCGAAAGCCUGACGGAGCAACGCCGCGUGAGUGAUGAAGGUCUUCGGAUCGUAAAACUCUGUUAUUAGGGAAGAACAAAUGUGUAAGUAACUAUGCACGUCUUGACGGUACCUAAUCAGAAAGCCACGGCUAACUACGUG